UAAAAACCCACUAAAAACCAUUGC
rnacentral:siRNA from 1 species